rnacentral:lncRNA from 1 species
UGUUUUGAGUGAUGACUUGUCUAAGUCUGGGGUCUUGUCUUGUAUGGGCCACGUUAUCUUGAGACAAGAACAGCCUCAUGUUCUUUUGACGAUGGAAACUUUUGAGUCAUAACUCUCUUUCGUCUUGAGCUUUACGUGGCCUUCAGGUUAGGAAGACGUACUCCUCUUCAAUUUGGAAGGUAGAGAUAACUAUUUGGCACACCAAAACUUCUCUGUAUAUGUUAUUCUAGUAUUGGUUUUUCAGAAAAUACUUAGUUGGCACUUAAUUUCAUCACAUAUUCAAGCCACUAAAUUAGAUAGAUUUUAACUUCAUUUUUUCAUUUUUUUAAAAACAUUAUUUGUUUAUGGAAUAUAAUCAUAUGUUGGGGGAAGAUGAACCUUAUAUAAUUGGUAAAUUUAUUGUUAUAUGACCAAGAGAUCUUGGGUUCAAGGCGUGGAAACAACCUCUUAUAGAAAUACAAGGUAAGGCUGUAUAUAAUAGACCCUUAUGGUACAACCCUUUCUCCGAUCCCUUGCAUAGCGGUAGCUUAGUGCAUUGAGCUACCCGAUCAUAUUUUGGGAAAAAAAUUUAAAAAAUUUCAAAUUCAAAAACUGGUUUAGGACUUUUAGGUGAAACUUUUUCUUUCAUAUUCACAAAACUUCAACUUUUCUCAAAUAAAACAGAUGUCCAAACAAAACUUCAACUUCCAACCAUUAUUUUUCAACAUAAAUUCAAAAACUCUUUUAUCAAAUUUGGAUUAAAUUUAUGUCCAUACGCUAGCUUAGUCAGACCCUGUAUGCUUGUGAGAUAUAUUUUUGAUCUGACAUAUUGGUAUCCCAAUAUUAAAAUAACUAAACGGUAAAUUUUUAAUUCACCUAUAGUUGGUAUAUUAAAAGUUUAUAUAUAAUACUUCAUCCGUUCCAAUUUACGUGAAUCUAUUUCUUUUUUGAUCCGUUCAAAAAAGAAUAUCUCUUUUAUAAAUUUGAAAAGAAUUUAGCUUAAACUUUCAAUUCUACUUUUGACAAGAGGGGUUGCUCCGAUGAUAAGCAACCCCCACUUCCAACCGAGAGGUUGUGAGUUCGAGUCUCCCCAAGAGCAAGGUUUAAAUUUGAUUAUCUUCUUAUAAUAUAUGACAAGAGGGGUUGCUCUGAUGGUAAGCAACCCCCACUUCCAACUGAGAGGUUGUGAAUUCGAGUCUCUCCAAGAGCAAGGUGGGAAGUUUUUGGAGGGAAGGAUGCCGGGCGGAUUAUUUGGAAACAGCCUCUCUACCCCUGGGUAGGGAUAAGGUCUGCGUACAUACUACCCUCCCCAGACCCCACUAAGUGGGAUUAUACUGGGUUGUUGUUGUUGUUGUUUCAAUUCUACUUUUAAUGAGAAGCUUUUAUAACAACACAAAUACUCUAGCCCUUUUUAACUUGUUUAAAACACAAAUUCAUAAGGUCUUCACUUUUUCUUAAAUACCAUACCCGGUCAAAUAAAUUCAUAUAAAUUAGAAUGGAGGGAGUAAAAGCAUUAGGGGUGUAAGUUUUUUAAAAAUGAAUUUAUUUCCAAUGACAAAAUUCAUUGACAAACAGAUCAUGAUUCGAACUGCGUAAUAUGAGUAUGGAUUUCAGUAGCCUAUUGGAUUUUUCCCUACUCCUUGUUAAGAAUCUCAAUGUGGAGAAAAGAAUCUCAAGUCUAGCAUAGACAAAAGCAAUGAGCGCAAGAAACAACACCAAUCACCAUGCAUACCUCAACGUAGUGGUGGCAAAAUGUAUUUAAAAAAAUUAGUUAUUCAUUCAUAUUAUGAACUAAAAAAUGGGCUGGAUAAUAAACUUUUUAAAAAUAAGUCAAAUAUGAAUAAGAAUCAUAUUAUUCACUUGAAAAAUGGAUAACUAAUAAAUUUAACUUUUUUAUUUGUUAAGACUCAAAUUAUGGGUUCCUCAAGUUUGAGAGACUAGGAAUUAUCCCAAAAGUCAUCAUACUAAAAAAGCCAUGAAUAGUAUGAUUACUUGUAUUAUCCGUCGAUUAACUCAUUUUUUUCCGUAUUAAAUAUUGGUCGAGCCGGGCCGGACCGGACCGGAUAAUUUAGCAUUUUAAUUACAUGUUUUUGACCAGCUCGUAUUCGACCGUUUGCCGCCCCACCUCAAUGGGAAGUAAAUUGACAAGUGACGAGCACCAAACCCUGCACAAAGAUGGUCCAUAGCAAUAUCACUGCACAAAAAUGGUCCUCUGCAAUAGCUAUGGGGACUCUAUUCUCAUUAUCUUAAAUCUUUUUUGAAGAUUAGAUGAUUCAGCAUCACCUGCCAAAAUCACUAGCAUCCCAAGUUAUUCCGAUUAGCUAAAGAAAGGGAAAGGAAGGCGCGUGAUCUUGACCAAGUUAGGUGC